UGUGUUUGAUCCAUUGAGAGUGGAUGUGUUAUUUUGGUAGCAGCUAGCUCAGUGUCGUUUGCUAAAAAAAAAGCUACUUCAGAGUGGUCGCUAUGCCUCUUGCAGACACCUGGAUGUUAGUCGCCACUUCAGACACAUGUGCAUUUAUCCAACAACCAGAGGAAAAAACACCGUCGUCUCUUAGGGGCUGUUUGGAUGGCGCUCAGGCCAGCCACGCCAAAUCGCGGGCGAGCCAAAAAAUUGGCAAUGAAAUUCGCCGCCACGAAUCUACCCUGGCGUUGGCGCAGGAAACUAGCUGGCUACCAAAAUUUUGGCGUAGGCUAGCAAAUUUGGCUGCCAACCAAACAGGCACUUACCUCUCCCUACUCAGCUUCUAAUCCCCAUUCUCCAACCAUGGCGGGCGCUCACCUUCUCGCCCCUCCCCCUCCACCUCCGAGCGCCUUACCCAGCGGUUCCUCAACAGCUCGCAGCUGUCGCUCAAGUCGCUUCCGCUUCUCUCCUCCUGCCUCCCCCCUUGCUGUCGUCCGCCGCCGACCGGACUUGGAUGGACGAGCACAUCCUCAAGGCCAAGCAGGCGCGGUGCUCCAGCAGUCUGGCCUCCUCGGCGUCGACGCAGUCUGCAUCCAUCUAGAGUUCUAAAGAACAGAGGAAGAUUCCUGUGCUUGGAGUUGAGUCAUGUGAAUGUUUAGAUUUUUAAAGACAUAUAUUGUGUAGGAGGUUGAGGGACAUGAGGGCCGGCAGUGAGCUUAAAGCUCUGUUGCUAUUCAACGGUCUCAGAAAUCUCUUCAAAUAAACAGAUGAGGGAAUUGGACUAUGCCACGCCCGCUGGCCCUUCCCUUCCUUCCACCUCUCCCUCUUGUGCUCCUUCUCCUCCGUAUUGUACCUCCUCCGGCUACUGGCGCCCAUGGCCAGCACAACAGUUAAAAUUCUUCUUCUCAAUGUUUUAGUGUCCGUAUAUUUUUUAGUUUUGUUUCUUUGGUAGUGUUGUUGCUUCACAGUUGAACUAUAUGUGUAAUAACUAUCAGUAGUCUAGGUUUGAGCAUUAGAAUCGUUUUAGAAUCAGAUAAAAAAUUAAUUUGAUCUGAUCCUGUUUUCCUAUUGUCUAAUCUUGGAGUAAGUUUCUCUUGAAUAUAUGUGAUCUGUUCUGUCA